ACGCACGCUGGCGGCAUGCCUAACACAUGCAAGUCGAACGAGACCUUCGGGUCUAGUGGCGCACGGGUGCGUAACGCGUGGGAACCUGCCCUUAGGUUCGGAAUAACUCCCCGAAAGGGGUGCUAAUACCGGAUAAUGUCUUCGGACCAAAGAUUUAUCGCCUUUGGAUGGGCCCGCGUUGGAUUAGCUAGUUGGUAGGGUAAAAGCCUACCAAGGCGACGAUCCAUAGCUGGUCUGAGAGGAUGAUCAGCCACACUGGGACUGAGACACGGCCCAGACUCCUACGGGAGGCAGCAGUGGGGAAUAUUGGACAAUGGGCGAAGGCCUGAUCCAGCAAUGCCGCGUGAGUGAUGAAGGCCUUAGGGUUGUAAAGCUCUUUUACCCGGGAUGAUAAUGACAGUACCGGGAGAAUAAGCUCCGGCUAACUCCGUG
rnacentral:rRNA from 1 species